rnacentral:rRNA from 1 species
AGCUGCAGUCGAGAAUCUUUCGCAAUGGGCGCAAGCCUGACGAAGCGACGCCGUGUGAGCGAAGAAGGCCUUCGGGUUGUAAAGCUCUUUCGCUAGGGAACAAGAAGAGGUUGGAUAACACCCAGCCAAUUUGAUGGUACUUGGUAAAGAAGCACCGGCUAACUCC